GGUUAAGUUAGAAAGGGCGCACGGUGGAUGCCUUGACACUAGGAGUCGAUGAAGGACGGGACUAACGCCGAUAUGCUUCGGGGAGCUGUAAGUAAGCUUUGAUCCGAAGAUUUCCGAAUGGGGAAACCCACCAUACGUAAUGGUAUGGUAUCCUUAUCUGAAUACAUAGGGUAAGGAAGACAGACCCAGGGAACUGAAACAUCUAAGUACCUGGAGGAAGAGAAAGCAAAUGCGAUUUCCUGAGUAGCGGCGAGCGAAACGGAACAUAGCCCAAACCAAGAGGCUUGCCUCUUGGGGUUGUAGGACAUUCUAUACGGAGUUACAAAGGAACGAGGUAGACGAAGCGACCUGGAAAGGUCCGUCGUAGAGGGUAACAACCCCGUAGUCGAAACUUCGUUCUCUCUUGAAUGUAUCCUGAGUACGGCGGAACACGUGAAAUUCCGUCGGAAUCUGGGAGGACCAUCUCCCAAGGCUAAAUACUCCCUAGUGAUCGAUAGUGAACCAGUACCGUGAGGGAAAGGUGAAAAGCACCCCGGAAGGGGAGUGAAAGAGAUCCUGAAACCGUGUGCCUACAAAUAGUCAGAGCCCGUUAACGGGUGAUGGCGUGCCUUUUGUAGAAUGAACCGGCGAGUUACGAUCCCGUGCGAGGUUAAGCUGAAGAGGCGGAGCCGCAGCGAAAGCGAGUCUGAAUAGGGCGUUUAGUACGUGGUCGUAGACCCGAAACCAGGUGAUCUACCCAUGUCCAGGGUGAAGUUCAGGUAACACUGAAUGGAGGCCCGAACCCACGCACGUUGAAAAGUGCGGGGAUGAGGUGUGGGUAGCGGAGAAAUUCCAAUCGAACCUGGAGAUAGCUGGUUCUCCCCGAAAUAGCUUUAGGGCUAGCCUUAAGUGUAAGAGUCUUGGAGGUAGAGCACUGAUUGGACUAGGGGUCCUCAUCGGAUUACCGAAUUCAGUCAAACUCCGAAUGCCAAUGACUUAUCCUUAGGAGUCAGACUGCGAGUGAUAAGAUCCGUAGUCAAAAGGGAAACAGCCCAGACCGCCAGCUAAGGUCCCAAAGUGUGUAUUAAGUGGAAAAGGAUGUGGAGUUGCUUAGACAACUAGGAUGUUGGCUUAGAAGCAGCCACCAUUUAAAGAGUGCGUAAUAGCUCACUAGUCGAGUGACUCUGCGCCGAAAAUGUACCGGGGCUAAAUACACCACCGAAGCUGCGGAUUGAUACCAAUGGUAUCAGUGGUAGGGGAGCGUUCUAAGGACAGUGAAGUCAGACCGGAAGGACUGGUGGAGUGCUUAGAAGUGAGAAUGCCGGUAUGAGUAGCGAAAGACGGGUGAGAAUCCCGUCCACCGAAUGCCUAAGGUUUCCUGAGGAAGGCUCGUCCGCUCAGGGUUAGUCAGGACCUAAGCCGAGGCCGACAGGCGUAGGCGAUGGACAACAGGUUGAUAUUCCUGUACCACCUCUUUAUCGUUUGAGCAAUGGAGGGACGCAGAAGGAUAGAAGAAGCGUGCGAUUGGUUGUGCACGUCCAAGCAGUUAGGCUGAUAAGUAGGCAAAUCCGCUUAUCGUAAAGGCUGAGCUGUGAUGGGGAAGCUCCUUAUGGAGCGAAGUCUUUGAUUCCCCGCUGCCAAGAAAAGCUUCUAGCGAGAUAAAAGGUGCCUGUACCGCAAACCGACACAGGUAGGCGAGGAGAGAAUCCUAAGGUGUGCGAGAGAACUCUGGUUAAGGAACUCGGCAAAAUGACCCCGUAACUUCGGGAGAAGGGGUGCUUUCUUAACGGAAAGCCGCAGUGAAUAGGCCCAAGCGACUGUUUAGCAAAAACACAGCUCUCUGCGAAGCCGUAAGGCGAAGUAUAGGGGGUGACACCUGCCCGGUGCUGGAAGGUUAAGGAGAGGGGUUAGCGUAAGCGAAGCUCUGAACUGAAGCCCCAGUAAACGGCGGCCGUAACUAUAACGGUCCUAAGGUAGCGAAAUUCCUUGUCGGGUAAGUUCCGACCCGCACGAAAGGUGUAACGAUUUGGGCACUGUCUCAACCAGAGACUCGGUGAAAUUAUAGUACCUGUGAAGAUGCAGGUUACCCGCGACAGGACGGAAAGACCCCGUGGAGCUUUACUGUAGCCUGAUAUUGAAUUUUGGUACAGUUUGUACAGGAUAGGCGGGAGCCAUUGAAACCGGAGCGCUAGCUUCGGUGGAGGCGCUGGUGGGAUACCGCCCUGACUGUAUUGAAAUUCUAACCUACGGGUCUUAUCGACCCGGGAGACAGUGUCAGGUGGGCAGUUUGACUGGGGCGGUCGCCUCCUAAAGUGUAACGGAGGCGCCCAAAGGUUCCCUCAGAAUGGUUGGAAAUCAUUCGUAGAGUGCAAAGGCAUAAGGGAGCUUGACUGCGAGACCUACAAGUCGAGCAGGGACGAAAGUCGGGCUUAGUGAUCCGGUGGUUCCGUAUGGAAGGGCCAUCGCUCAACGGAUAAAAGCUACCCCGGGGAUAACAGGCUUAUCUCCCCCAAGAGUCCACAUCGACGGGGAGGUUUGGCACCUCGAUGUCGGCUCAUCGCAUCCUGGGGCUGUAGUCGGUCCCAAGGGUUGGGCUGUUCGCCCAUUAAAGCGGUACGCGAGCUGGGUUCAGAACGUCGUGAGACAGUUCGGUCCCUAUCCGUCGUGGGCGUAGGAAAUUUGAGAGGAGCUGUCCUUAGUACGAGAGGACCGGGAUGGACGCACCGCUGGUGUACCAGUUGUUCUGCCAAGGGCAUAGCUGGGUAGCUAUGUGCGGAAGGGAUAAGUGCUGAAAGCAUCUAAG
rnacentral:rRNA from 1 species